rnacentral:rRNA from 1 species
AGCGAACGCUGGCGGCAGGCCUAACACAUGCAAGUCGAGCGCCCAGCAAUGGGAGCGGCAGACGGGAUAGUAACACGUGGGAACGUACCUUUCAGUUCGGAACAACCCAGGGAAACUUGGGCUAAUACCGAAUACGUCCGUAAGGAGAAAGAUUUAUCGCUGAAAGAUCGGCCCGCGUCUGAUUAGCUAGUUGGUGAGGUAAUGGCUCACCAAGGCGACGAUCAGUAGCUGGUCUGAGAGGAUGAUCAGCAUCACUGGGACUGAGACACGGCCCAGACUCCUACGGGAGGCAGCAGUGGGGAAUAUUGGACAAUGGGCGAAAGCCUGAUCCAGCCAUGCCGCGUGAGUGAUGAAGGCCUUAGGGUUGUAAAGCUCUUUUCAGCGGGAAAGAUAAUGACGGUACCCGCA